AAACCCAACUAAAAUAAAACUCUCUCUGCUCUCAUCGUCUUCUUCCUUGAGAGGCGAUUUGUUGAUUCACUUCCUACGAAAUCAAGUUCAAGAGAAGAAUCAAUCAAUCUCUUGCGAGGAGAGAUCCAAAGUCUCUAGAUAAGUUCUCUUCGCUGAUUUUAUAUGAGUUUCUAGAUCUUUCUUUGCCUUUUUGAUUUUCCUGUUUUAGGGUUUUCAAUUUCGAUUGUAUUGACUCUGUUUUGUUCUUUUCAUCCUUUAGCGACGAUCAAUCGCUUCCCAGUUCCCAAGAAAUCUCCAUCUCUAGUCUGGGUAAUUCAGGGGAUGAAGUCGAUCAAGCCUUUGCCUGAGGGUGUUCAUCACUCCAAGCGUUCUGGAAUUAUGAUGUUUGACAUGACCUAAGGUUCGCAAAAGUAAAAUUCUCCCCUUCUACUUUGAUUUCUUCUUCUGGUUCUCUGGAUUUCUUCAGAUCGAUCUCUCUAUUUUCAUGUUUCUAUCUUCGUGGGUGUUGUUUCGUGCUCUGUCAAGGUUGUGGAUGAUGGAUCAGGCGUUUCCAGAGAUGAUUUGGUUUUGUUGGGAAAAAGAUACACCAUUUCAAAGUUUCAUGAUUUGGAGUCAGCCAGUGAAAAUUUUGGAUUCCAUGGAAAGGCGUUAGCGUUAGCUUCGAUAUCAGAUAAUCCCGUUACUGGAAAUAAGGACAAAAGCUAUUGGGAAGCCUGAUAUCGAAAGGUAUGGGAUGACUUUGAUGCUACUCAAUACUCCUACAUAGUUUGUGUGGCGUUAGGUUAUAAUUAUGGUUUUAAAACAAAAAUCUUACUUUCUUUGAUUUUAGUAUUUUCGGUUAUUGGUUUUCAAUUUUGUGUCUUGGGUUUCAAAAUCGUUUACUUUGCCUAUAGUUUUGUGUGUGUCUGUGUUCCUUAUAGGUUUGGUUUUCCCUUGUGUAUUAUAAGUUUUUGAUUGCUUGCCAAUUAACUAGUCUCACGUUCACUCAUAUGAUGAGCUAGUCAUAACUACAAUUGUUAUGUAUUGGUAUGCAAUACUCUUUGUCUUGUUUCUAUCGAGGUAAUCUAAAUUACCUCUCUGCUUGUCCUUGUCCCUAGUCACCUGAGCAAAAAAUACUAAUGCCUCGGUUCGGCUGAGGUAAUUUAAAUUACCUCUCUGCUUGUCCCUGCCCCUUGCAUGCAUGGGGGUUCCUAGUCACCUGAAAAUACAAAUGCCUCGGUUUCUGAGGUAAUAUAAAUUACCUCUCUGCUUGUCCCUGUCCCUACUGUCACUGUCCCUUGAAUGCAUAUGGGUUCCUACUGUCACUGUCCCUCGGUUUGGCUGAGGUAAUCUAAAUUACCUCUCAGCUUGUCCCUGUCCCUAUCGGGUUUAUGUCCCUGUCCCUUGAAUAUAUUCGGGUUUCCUAGUCACCUGAGCAAAGAAACAAAUGCCUCGGUUUGGCUGAGGUAAUCUAAAUUACCUCUCAGCUUGUCCGGUUUGAUUGUCCCUGUCCCUAUCGGUUUAUGUCCCUGUCCCUUGAAUGUAUUCGGGUUCCUAGUCACCUGAGCAAAGAAACAAAUGCCUGGGUUUGGCUAAGGUAAUUUAAAUUACCUCUCUGCUUGUCCCUGUCCCUAUCGGUUUAAUUGUCACUGUCCCUUGAAUGCAUACGGGUUUCUCGUCACCUGAGCAAAGAAAACAAAUGCCUCGGUUUGGCUGAGGUAAUUUAAAUUACCUCUCUGCUUGUCCCUUGAAUGUAUUCGGGUUCCUAGUCACCUGAGCAAAGAAACAAAUGCCUCGGUUUGGCUGAGGUAAUUUAAAUUACCUCUCUGCUUGUCCCUGUCCCUAUCGGUUUAAUUGUCACUGUCCCUUGAAUGCAUACGGGUUUCUCGUCACCUGAGCAAAGAAAACAAAUGCCUCGGUUUGGCUGAGGUAAUUUAAAUUACCUCUCUGCUUGUCCCUUGAAUGUAUUCGGGUUCCUAGUCACCUGAGCAAAGAAACAAAUGCCUCGGUUUGGCUGAGGUAAUCUUAAUUAUCUCUCAGCUUGUCCCUGUCCCUUGAAUGCAUAUGGGUUCCUAGUCACCUGAGCAAAGAAACAAAUGCCUCGGUUUGGCUGAGGUAAUUUGAAUUACCUCUCAGCUUGUCCCUGUCCCUUGAAUGCAUACGGGUUUCUCGUCACCUGAGCAAAGAAAACAAAUGCCUCGGUUUGGCUGAGGUAAUUUAAAUUACCUCUCUGACCCUGUCCCUAUCGGUUUGGUUGUCCCUGUCUCUAUAAUGCGUUCAGGUUCCUAGUCACCUGAGCAAAGAAAACAAAUGCCUCGGUUUGGCUGAGGUAAUUUAAAUUACCUCUCUGACCCUGUCCCUAUCGGUUUGGUUGUCCCUGUCUCUAUAAUGCGUUCAGGUUCCUAGUCACCUGAGCAAAGAAACAAAUGCCUCGGUUUGGCUGAGGUAAUCUAAAUUACCUCUCAGCUUGUCCCUGUCCCUGUCCCUAUCGGUUUAAUUGUCCCUGUCCCUUGAAUGCAAAUGGGUUCCUAGUCACCUGAGCAAAGAAACAAAUGCCUCGGUUUGGCUGAGGUAAUUUAAAUUACCUCUCAGCUUGUCCCUGUCCCUAUCGGUUUAUGUCCCUGUCCCUUGAAUGUAUCGGGUUCCUAGUCACCUGAGCAAAGAAACAAAUGCCUCGCUUUGGCUGAGGUAAUCUAAAGUACCUCUCAGCUUGUCCCUGUCCCUAUCGGUUUAAUUGUCCUUGUCCCUUGAAUGCAUACUAGGUCACCUGAGCAAAAAAACAAAUGCCUCGGUUUGGCUGAGGUAAUUUAAAACCUCUCAGCUUGUCCCUGUCCCUAUCGGUAUGAUUGUCCCUGUCCCUUGAAUGCAUAUGGGUCUCUCGUCACCUGAGCAAAGAAACAAAUGCCUCGGUUUGGCUGAGGUAAUCUAAAUUACCUCUCAGCUUGUCCCUGUCCCUAUCGGUUUAAUUGUCCCUGUCCCUUGAGUGCAAAUGGGUUCCUAGUCACCUGAGCAAAGAAACAAAUGCCUCGAUUUGGCUGAGGUAAUUUAAAUUACCUCUCUGCUUGUCCCUGUCCCUAUCGGUUUAUGUCCCUGUCCCUUGAAUGUAUCGGGCUCCUAGUCACCUGAGCAAAGAAACAAAUGCCUCGGUUUGGCUGAGGUAAUCUAAAUUACCUCUCAGCUUGUCCCUGUCCCUUGAAUGCAAAUGGGUUCCUAGUCACCUGAUGCUAAAAGCAAAUGCCUUGGUUGUUGAGGUAAUCUAAAUUACCUCUCAGAUUGUCCCUGGCCUUGAUCUCUGAUUAGCAAAUGAAGCAGUCCCAAAUCUUUAAACUACUUGGGUUGCAGAAGUAUGACAUCCAUGGAGCAUGCAUGAUCACGCUUACAUUUAAAUUGAGUUGUUCUCGGGUUUCUGAAGAUCGUCAUAAGAGUUUCAGGUUAUUCUUUAGCUCCCUUUGCAGUUUGCAUGCAGUUCUCGGGGGUUUUUGUCUGUUUUCGUUAAGUGUAGCCGUGUUACCAUCUAGAUGACUAUGUGACAGGAAUUUUAUUAUUGAAGAUCGUAUAGCUGGUUGGGGUUGUCAUUUCUAUUUUGAUUAAUUUAUAUGAUGUUUACAUUGUUGAAAGAGCAAACUAUUUUUUCUCUAACUAGUGUGGACUGAUUACUACAAUGAGUGUUUUGUCUGUGUUAGUUCAUAUUUGAUUCUUAGGGAAGCUUAUAUCUCUGAAAUCUCUUUUGCAUUUUAAGCUGUGGUUGUUGGUUGUCUUGUUAUUGUUGUAUACCCUUGUUUGUUUGGGUUUUCCCAGUGAUGAAAUGUCUAUGUCUUGGUAGGAUAAUUCAGUUUAUUCUGGAAGAUAGUAUAGCUGGUUGUGCUUGACAUUUUUAUUUUUGAUUAAACUAUAUUUGGUGUACACAUUGUUGAAAAAGCUUCGCUGACUAGUGUAGAAUGAUUAGUACAAUAAGUGUUGUCUUGUCUGUGUUGGUUCAUAUUUCAUUCUUAGAGAAGCUUAUGUCUGAAAUCUGUCACAGGCUUUUCUUGAUGUGAUCCAUUUGUCUUGUGGAAAGAUAGGAAGUUGUGUGCAGCGAUAAAGCUAUGCAUGUUUGGAUUUAGAGUGCAUUGUCUCACUGUGAUUCCUUAUUCCAAUUUAAAAUAUUGGGUUACCCUUUGCAUCAUGUAAUUGAUGAAACAAUCUUGCUGUUAGUUACUUUCUCGGUUUUUUCCUCUAUGGAAGUGUAUUGUGUGGUCCUUCUCUUUUGCAUUAUCAGCUGUGUUGGUUGUCUUCUUGUUAUCGUUGUAUGCCCUUGUUUGUUUGGGAUUUCCCAGUGAUGAAAAUGUCUACAGUUUGGCUGUUUUUGUUCAUUUUUCUUAUCCUAGUUAUGUUUGUUUUAAUGAUAUUGUGUGCUAUGAUCUGAUAGAUAAAUCGAAGUUCAUGAAGGAUCGUUUAUAACUUUAAGAAAAUAACAACCCCCUCCCCCCCUCGCUCUCUCUUGCUGUAAGUGUGAACCACUAUAAAUAACCCACAUAAGAUUCAGAUUAGGAGAAGAACUCUGGUUUUUCUUACUUCGUUAUUGUUUGUUUUUCUUUUUUUUCUUGUCGUCAGUUCGUUAUUGUUUGUUGAAAAGAUAAAAUUCUCACACAUAUCUUCUCUUAUGUUUGAAAAUCUUUCAAACAAAUACAAUUACAAAGUGGUAUACACGUUUGAACCAUUGAAUCAAACAUCUUAAUUGUCUUAGUUGAUUCUUAGAGAAGCUUAUGUUUGAAAUCUCUUUUGCAUUUUUGGUUGUAUUGGUUGUCAUCUUGUUAUUGUUGUUGUAUGCCCUUGUUUGUUUGCAAUUUCGAAGUGAUGAUGUCCACAAUUUGGCUGUCUUGUUCAUUUUUAUGAUAUUGUGUGUUUCUAUCAUUUAUGUUGUUCUUUUUAUUUUAUUGUGAAUUUGUCUCUUUAACCUAAUUUUUAGAAAGUACAUCUUCUCUCGUAAGAUAGUUAUUUAAAGCUACCUAUCUUGAUCUGAAACGUGUCUCACAUAGCCUGCUUGUUACGGUUGAAGCUGAAUAAUGCAUGAGUUUUUUAAGUUUUGUAAAUCUUAUGGCAUCUGCUUUGAGUGUGUUUCAUGUUACUUAUUCUUUCUUGGUCCUAUUCUCGUUGUGGUCUGACCUUGGUUAUUUAAAGAUUUAGAUUUUAUUCCUGUUGCAAUCAUCAUCAUGUAAAGUUUGCUUGCACUCGCUUUCUGAUCAGUCUAUUGUCUCUGUUUGAGCUCUUAGAAGUUAGAGUUGACUGCUAAGUUUAAGCUUUUUUUUUUUACUUGCUAUACUAAUGCUUUUUCGUUUAGUCAGUCGAAUUUCCAUGGAAUAAUACUGAGCUGGUGUUAAUUUUAAUAUUUGGUAUGGUCUUGUUUCCUGUAUACAAAGAUAUUACAACUACACAUUUAUUUGUGACAAUUGAUCUUGAUUAGAAAGCAUUUACUUACAUGCAGUGUGAGUGACUACAGUGUUUUUUUUGUUUGGUGUGUUUUAUUUAAGUGUAAAGAUCGUAUAGCUGGUUAUGCUUGACAUUUCUGUUUUGAUUAAAUUAUGUUUGGUGUUCACAUUGUUGAAAGAGCAAAGUAUGUCUUCUCUGACUAGUGUAGAAUGAUUAGUAAAAUGAGUGUCUUGUCGGAUGUUUGAUUCUUAGAGAAGCUUAUGUCUGAAAUCUGACAUGCCUGGUCUUGAUGUGAUCCAUUUGUCUGAUGGAAAGAUAGGAAUGGUCGAACUAUCUACCCACAUUAACUUGAAAUCCCGCAUUAUAUAGCAAGUACAUGUUGUUUUCGAUGAAGAACCAACCUCUCCUAAAAUUUCAAAACUAGCACAAUCUCCAAUGCAAGUUUACAAUAUCCCAUAAAAUUUAGCUGAUGACACAUCGACAAAACUAGAACAAUCUUCUAUAAAAUGUCACUCUUCUUAAAGAUAAAAUAAAACUUCUGUGAAUGCUUUAUGUCAUUUGAUAUUGAAUUUAAUAGUAUAGUUUGUUGAUUAUGGGAAAGACUUCCGACCUGACGAAGUAAACUUGGUCUAGCAAGAGACAUGCAUUUUUCUCUUUUUUUUUUUUUUUGGCUCAAUAUCAACUUUUUAUUAACUAAAAUAUUAUAACCAAAUCCACAUUAUAUUCACCUCAAAAACUUAGACCAAAACAAAUACAAUGCUUGAUCAAGUAUAAUCUUGUAACACUAGACAAAUCUAACGCUAACUAAUUGAGAAUCAUUGUAUUUUUUUAACUAAAGUAAAAUAGAUAACACACCACAACUAUAUGAAAUCAUUCCUUAAAUCACCUAAAUUAAUCUAAUGACACGAAAACAAAUACUAACACAAAGAAAACCAAAAACUACUAGUGAAAACGAUCAAAUCCCAGCUAUAAGAACUUCUGGAUCAACAUGUAGAAUUUGUUUCAAUAGCUUAAACACCCAAAGCGCAUCAUUAAAAGAGUUUGGUCUCUCCGGCUUUCACUGUUCUGGUCCUAAAUCUAAAACGGAUAAUACAUCCGAUUGACCCGACCAAGAGACACAAAACACCACCAGCAAGAGCUACAACUUUUCCAAACUAAUCACACAAAAAAAACCCGAAUGCUAAUCUUCUUAAGAUAAAGAAUUGAAGCACAAAUUAGCAUAUCAUCACCUCCUCGUGCAUAACUGGAAAGGCCAUAUCGCUGAUGCCUUGUUGUCUCGCUUCUUAGCCGGUAUAACACCAGAAAUUGAGGAAGCUCUUGAGAAAGCGUCGGCUAUGAGGGUGUCCGCAAAUCUCGGCCACCGGCACACCUGAAGCCUCCCCAACAACCGGUAGACUCUAAACAACCCGACUCACCCAUACAUCUCCGAUCUACUAGCAUCUCCGGCAGAGGGGUGGAGGAAACAGGAGGUCGCGAUCCGAAACUCAGAUCCAACUCCCCUAAGCUGCAAGGAAGGUUGCCCGGAGCAGCUUCGAACCACCACCAGUCUUCGGAGAGGAAGGCGAGCCGAGAUCUCGUCGUCCGCCACACCGUCACGACGCAACGGUUGGACUGCUCAGUACGCCGGGGAGGAAGAGAGCGGGUCACUACUGGAACGACUCGACUGGGACGACAAGCUAAAGAAGGAAAACAGGGCCCUCUCACACCGCCGGCGAAGCCUUGGGCGGCGGAGAGGCAAACGAAACCAGCGGCGCUAGGGUUUGGAGGAGACUCGCGAGAGAGAAAACACGGGGCUUUUUUUUUUUUUUUUUUUUUUUUUUUU